rnacentral:rRNA from 1 species
UGGCGAACGGGUGAGUAACACGUGGGCAAUCUGCCCUUCACUCUGGGACAAGCCCUGGAAACGGGGUCUAAUACCGGAUAAUACUCCUGCCUGCAUGGGUGGGGGUUAAAAGCUCCGGCGGUGAAGGAUGAGCCCGCGGCCUAUCAGCUUGUUGGUGGGGUAAUGGCCCACCAAGGCGACGACGGGUAGCCGGCCUGAGAGGGCGACCGGCCACACUGGGACUGAGACACGGCCCAGACUCCUACGGGAGGCAGCAGUGGGGAAUAUUGCACAAUGGGCGAAAGCCUGAUGCAGCGACGCCGCGUGAGGGAUGACGGCCUUCGGGUUGUAAACCUCUUUCAGCAGGGAAGAAGCGAAAGUGACGGUACCUGCAGAAGAAGCGCCGGCUAACUACGUGCCAGCAGCCGCGGUAAUACGUAGGGCGCAAGCGUUGUCCGGAAUUAUUGGGCGUAAAGAGCUCGUAGGCGGCUUGUCACGUCGGAUGUGAAAGCCCGAGGCUUAACCUCGGGUCUGCAUUCGAUACGGGCUAGCUAGAGUGUGGUAGGGGAGAUCGGAAUUCCUGGUGUAGCGGUGAAAUGCGCAGAUAUCAGGAGGAACACCGGUGGCGAAGGCGGAUCUCUGGGCCAUUACUGACGCUGAGGAGCGAAAGCGUGGGGAGCGAACAGGAUUAGAUACCCUGGUAGUCCACGCCGUAAACGUUG